ensembl:lncRNA
GCCACCAGCUGCUCUCUGUCCAUUGGCCAACCAAAGGGAUUCACACCCUACAAGCAAAGGAUUCACACUUUAAACUAGUAAAGUGCACUCAGUAGAGUGCCGAUCCAUAGCUGUUGAGUCGCCCUCUCCCAAACAAAGAAGCGUUGAAUCUCACUCAUUUGUUAUCUGGUAAAUCACCUGUGGUCCCUGUCACGGUUGGGAUUCCAUGUUCCACUGAUACGUAUGAACAUACAAACAGGUAAUGGAUUCCAUGUAUGUGUGAAUAUCACAGUUUUUUGUCAGAAGUGCUUUCAGUGCACAAAGGGUUAUCCUACUACUUGUGGUGAGUCACCCGAUGCCAGCAAUCCGGCACCAUGGAAACCGGCCACACCCCAAUCGCGGGUUGAGCGCCGGCAGCUGGUGCCACUUAACCAAACCACAUUUAAGCGGCAGGCUCACACAAAAAGGGGAAACUGUCUCUCGCGUGAGUGGUGGGGGCUUGUUCUAACAAAUCUUGAGUUCUCUUCAGACACCAGCGCCUGACGCUCAGCCCGCACAACCCGGAAGCCUGAGAUCGUCAUAGGACCCGCUGCACACCCGAAGAUUGAGCACAAGAGGAGCACUACCUUUCACCUGCACGUUUUGGACACCUUUUUCCUUCUUACAUGGAAUAAUUGUCAGUAAAACACCUUCUGGGGAUGAGUUACACACUCUCUUGUUGCGUCCUGACUCCUCCCGCGACAUACUUUUACCCUCAUAGCUACAGUAUAAUGAAUAAAUGAAUGCCUUGUCAAUUACACUCAGAGAGAAUCAAAAUAUCCACAAAUGCCGUCCUAAUAACAAUCAAUUGAAAAAUGGAUGUGUGUAACAGACAAAGGACUGUUAUGCAGGAAAAAGCCUUGGGUGUCUCGCGUCACACCAGAAAUCUACGUUGACAUUUUACUCCACACUUGGACUUGGACAACAUAACACACAGGUCUAUUUUAAGCCAGUUUUACUAGAUCUAUAUAAUAUGUUUUUUUUUUCUUUAUAUGUAUGUUUAUAUGUCUUUGUUACAAUUCCCAGUUAACAUUGUUUACUUGGAUAAAAGAUGUUUCUCUCAAAACAUAUUUGAGAAUGCAGUUUAGUUGUAUGGGGACAUACUUUUGAAGACGACAGGGUUUUUAAAGAUUCCAGAUUUUUUGCAGAAAGAUAACGUGACCUUUGUAAAAACCAAAAAGAAACAAUGUGCCUCCAAAAGAAGCAAGUUUCUCAAUAUAGGACAUCAGUAAGAAUUCUUCAUUCGAGAAAAUUCAGUUGUGAAUCUACUAACUUAUCAACCAUUCAUAUUCGUCUCAAAAUGUUUUUUCUUGUUUUAUGAUAAAAAGAACAAUAGAGAUAAUGCAACCAUAGAUGAUAAUCAUUUUGUAUACCUCAACAGGGGUGCAUUUGUCAUGCUGGAAUUGAAACACCAAGGCCAAUCGUUCCUCACUGAACACAAAUCCAUUCUCCCUACACGCUGCAAGAGUGACAUAUCCUCAGGUACCCGCCCAUCUCUCUCCCUCCCUCUGUGUCUGUCCAUUUCUCCUCCAACAUUAUCCCAUUGGCUGUAUCCCUCUGACCAGUAAUUUAUAACACCCCCCACAGUAGACUCCCAUUGCAGGAAUGUACCAAGGGCUCUUAAGACGUUAUUGAUUUUUAUUUGAUUAAAUGUCUCGCUGGUUUUCAGCAAAUUAGCAAGAGUUUGAUCAAAUCACAAUCAAUAUCUACUUAAUAAUCUCCCAACACACACCUCAUGCAAACUAAGGUAAAACACAAGUGAAUAGUGGGGAUGAAAUAAUGAGACUGAGGAUAAAAUGUGCUUGUACUAUGUUAAAUAGCAGAUUUGUGAGUGGUUACAUUUAUGUGAGUGAGUCCUUUUGUUGUUUGUUGUUGUUCAUACUAGAUCAUUUAUGUCAUACUUUUGUCACGGUGUGGUUUUAUUUCCUGCCUUAUUUUGUAGUUUCUGCUUCUUGUCUCCCUGGGUAACUUCACUUCCUGCCUUGUCCUGUCAUCCCCUUUGACUGUCUGAUUGUUUCCACCUGUGUCCAAUCACCUGCACCUCCCUAGUGUAUUUAAGCUGUGUGUGUGUCUCCUGUCAUUUGUCGCGUCAUUGUCUGGUCUUGGAUGUUCGUAAUUACUGCCUGCCGUUUUUCCCCUGGUUCCUGUGUGCGUUUUUGCCCGUCGGCCUUUUGCGUUUUCUUUUUGACUAUUAAAGUCUCUUUUGUUUAAGAACUCUGCAUUUGAGUCCUGCCUUCCCACGCAUCCCUGACAAUGUUGGUCAGCCAAGUUAUACGGUGGAUCAUUUAA